GCUCUGUUUAACAGUCCAACACGCUAGACGUUCGAUCUGUUUCAAGGCUUGGGCGGCAGCAACUCCUGGGGCUAGGAAUGAGGCAAAAAUCCUAGCAGUCAUGCUCCACAACUGUACCUCGUCAGAACAGGUGCUGUCAAGGAUUUUGAGAGACCGAUGCUUUUUGUGAGAAGCAGUCUUAAGUUCCUUAUCAAUCUUUAACCAUUCUAUAAAAUAAUAGCACUAAUCAUAUUAAUAAUAUAACCAUCAUAAUUCAAUGAGAGCCUGCAUUGACAACACACUAAACAUAAGAAAAGAUACAAGGCAAACAGCAUAAUGACAAGAAAUACUGUUAAACCCAUUAAAAAGAAUGAGUUCCAAUCAACAUACACAGCAGGAAUCAGAAACUCCCUAAGCUAAUCUAUUAUUACUUACUGACCCUUGAAAGGUGACAAACCACCAGAAAGGAGAGAGAAGAAACACGCCAGCGGUGGAUGUGACAGGCAGUGCCAGCAGGGCGUCCCCUGCUUCAAAGUGCACUUCUCCUCUCUCACCCACCACAGACUCUCUCCUGCUUUUAUUCUUCUCAGGGUCUGCAGGGUUUUUUCCAUUUGUACACUGCAUCCGCAUGGCCAGUGCAAUAUACAGAGCCCAAGUGGAACACCUGUUCACAAAGCAAAACAAGCUACUAAGGUCAGCUCUCUCUGUGAAACAGAGAGAAAAGAUUCCUCAAUCUGCUGAAUGACACCUGUAACAUACAAAGAGUUAGUUAACUGAUGUUCUGGGGUGGGGGAAGAGGGGAUAUUUGUCCAGUAUAGUCAGCCAUAGCAGUUGGAGAAACAAAUGAAUGCACAGGAAUCCAGGCCAAAUCUUUUUAGUAGCGAUAUGUUGUCAGGAGGGAGAAAUCCAGUUCGUUCUGUGGAUCUACUGGGCUAGGAUCAAAAAGAUUCUCUAGUUGCAGUCCAUCCUAGUCUUUAACAGAAGUACACACGGGCAGCAGAAGCGGAACGGCACGGUGAGCAGAGGUGGGGGCGCAGGCAGCAGCGGCGCAGCAAGCGUCGGGGGGGGGGGUUACAGACGGCGGUCGCGAAGCAGGGAAAAUCUGGAGUGAACUGUGGCCGCGGGUGCUGCGGGCGUCUCGCAGCAGUGGCGGCGGUGUUCUCCGAGGGCUGCACUCUUUCUUCUCCCAGACUGGGAGAGGGGUUGAAGUCCCGAUCGGGUCCGGCAGAAGCUGCUUUCCUCAUCGAGGGGCAGCGGCAAGGAAAAUGCGGUCCGUCACCACACGCCACCCAGGUUAGGGUCCCUACUUAUUCAACCACGAUAAACGCUACGCAGUCGUCCCUGUUCAGGUGCCAAAUGUUGGGAAACUCCCCAUGUUCCCCACAGGGUUACCCUCCUGUAGCGCGGGAAGCUCGACACUCAAUGUGAGUUCAUGCGGCUUCCUCUUUAU
rnacentral:lncRNA from 1 species